CUGUGGGGCGCGCCAGUCCCCCGAGUGACUGAAGCGCCCGCAGGUGCCUGUGCCUGUGUAUCCCGACAAUAAACCAAAUCCUCUUGCUGAUUGCAUCCUGUGGUGUCUCGGUCUGGUCUUUGGAGUUGGAGGGUCUCCAUCCCGAGGGAAAGUUCUCCCUGAGAGCUUUUCAUUUGGUGCGUUGGCCGGGAAAGGAGAUCCUCCACCCAGGGACCACCGACCACCCACUGGGAGGUAAGCCGGCCGGCGUCUGUCUGUCUGUCUGUCUGAUUUUGUCUCGUUCUGCCUUAUUCUGUCUGUUCUGUGAGCGCUCAGCCAGGUUGUUUGGAAUUUGGGCGGGACGAAGAAGGAGCUGACGAGCUCGGACUUCUCGCCCCGCAGCCCUGGAAGACGUUCCAAGGGUGUUGGGGCCCGACUUUUCGGGGCCCAAUCUGGGAGAGGAGAAAGAUCCGGACUAACGGCACUCUGUCUGUAUUUUUGGCUUUCAGAGGGCCCCGGACCUUUGCCACCUCCAUCUGACUUUUUGCUUUCAGUUUGGUACCAAAGCCGUGCAGCACGCCUGUCUGUUGUUUGUUUGACUGUUGGUGUUGUUUGUUUUCUCUGUGUUCUAAUCUUCCUUAGAACUAACAUGGGACAGUCCCUAACAAUGCCCCUAAGUCUCACUCUUGAUCAUUAGAAAGACGUCCACGACCGGGCACACAACCAGUCCGUCGAGGUUAAAAAAGGAAAAUGACAGACUCUCUACACAUCCGAGUGGCCCACUUUCGGAGCGGGAUGGCCAGUGAAUGGCACAUUUAAUAAGAUCAUUAUUUUACAGGUUAAAGAUCGGGUCGUCCACGGACAUCCUGACCAGGUUUCUUAUAUUAUCACUUGAGAGAGUCUCGCCUUAACCCCCCCCCCCGGGCGGAACCCUUCGUGGACCCAAAUUGGCCUCCCCUCAACCCCCAGUCUGUCCCCUCUGCCCCGCCCGGUCCGCCGGCCACGUCUUCCUCUCUCUACCUUUGUGAAAUCAGAGCCUUCUAAGAAACCUGUCCUCCCGGCAGACCCAAACUCCCCUCUCAUAGAUCUUCUCUCUGACAGGCCCGGCUAAAACGGAGGAGGCAGAGCCGCCGGCCAGAUCAGUUGCCGGGCCACAGUCUGAUAAGGGUUUCUCCCCUGUCGCAGGGAGAUUGCGCAAUAAGUGCGA
ensembl:lncRNA